UACGGAGGUGGCAAGCGUUGUUCGGAUUUAUUGGGUGUAAAGGGCAUGUAGGCGGUUAUGUAAGUCAAAUGUGAAAUCCCUCAGCUCAACUGAGGAAGUGCAUUUGAAACUGCAUAACUUGAGUAUAGGAGAGGAGAGCGGAAUUCCCGGUGUAAGGGUGAAAUCUUUAGAUAUCGGGAGGAACACCAGUGGCGAAGGCGGCUCUCUGGCCUGAAACUGACGCUGAAAUGCGAAAGCUAGGGGAGCAAACAGG
rnacentral:rRNA from 1 species